rnacentral:rRNA from 1 species
AACGCUAGCUACAGGCUUAACACAUGCAAGUCGAGGGGAAACGACAUCGAAAGCUUGCUUUUGAUGGGCGUCGACCGGCGCACGGGUGAGUAACGCGUAUCCAACCUGCCCACCACUUGGGGAUAACCUUGCGAAAGUAAGACUAAUACCCGAUGAUAUCUCUAGACGACAUCUGAAAGGGAUUAAAGAUUUAUCGGUGAUGGAUGGGGAUGCGUCUGAUUAGCUUGUUGGCGGGGUAACGGCCCACCAAGGCGACGAUCAGUAGGGGUUCUGAGAGGAAGGUCCCCCACAUUGGAACUGAGACACGGUCCAAACUCCUACGGGAGGCAGCAGUGAGGAAUAUUGGUCAAUGGACGAGAGUCUGAACCAGCCAAGUAGCGUGCAGGAUGACGGCCCUAUGGGUUGUAAACUACUUUUAUAAGGGAAUAAAGUGAGCCUCGUGAGGCUUUUUGCAUGUACCUUAUGAAUAAGGACCGGCUAAUUCCGUGCCAGCAGCCGCGGUAAUACGGAAGGUCCGGGCGUUAUCCGGAUUUAUUGGGUUUAAAGGGAGCGUAGGCCGGAGAUUAAGCGUGUUGUGAAAUGUAGACGCUCAACGUCUGCACUGCAGCGCGAACUGGUUUCCUUGAGUACGCACAAAGUGGGCGGAAUUCGUGGUGUAGCGGUGAAAUGCUUAGAUAUCACGAAGAACUCCGAUUG